rnacentral:rRNA from 1 species
UACGGAGGGUGCAAACGUUGCUCGGAAUCAUUGGGCGUAAAGCGCACGUAGGCGGUCCAGCAAGUCGGGUGUGAAAGCCCUCGGCUCAACCGAGGAAGUGCAUUCGAAACUGCUGAACUUGAGUAUGGAAGAGGGUCGCGGAAUUCCCGGUGUAGAGGUGAAAUUCGUAGAUAUCGGGAGGAACACCAGUGGCGAAGGCGGCGACCUGGGCCAAUACUGACGCUGAGGUGCGAAAGCGUGGGGAGCAAACCGG